rnacentral:tRNA from 2 species
GCCGAAGUGGUGAAAUUGGCAGACGCACUGGACUCAAAAUCCAGCGUACGCGAGUACAUGUCGGUUCGAGUCCGACCUUCGGCACCA